UCCCCCGUGGGGUAAUUGGCAGCCCGCCGACCUUUGGAGUCGGUUGUCUUGGUUCGAGUCCAGGCGGGGGAA
rnacentral:tRNA from 1 species